UACGUAGGCAGCAAGCGUUGUUCGGAUUCACUGGGUUUAAAGGGAGCGCAGGCGGAUUGGUAAGUCAGUGGUGAAAGCCUUAAGCUUAAUUUGGGAACUGCCAUUGAUACUAUCAGUCUUGAAUAUUGUUGAGGUUUGCGGAAUGGGUCAUGUAGCGGUGAAAUGCAUAGAUAUGACCCGGAACACCUAUUGCGAAGGCAGCAGGCUAAACAAAGAUUGACGCUGAGGCUCGAAAGCGUGGGGAUCAAACAGG
rnacentral:rRNA from 1 species